GACGUCUUCGUGGGCCUCCGUCCGUACCAUCUAUUCUCGCCGUUCGCUGUUAGCAACCGCCUCCCCUUCCUUCCCAAUAAAGUUUCGUCUCCCCUUCCGUUUUUAUAACUCCGUAUGUUCGAUCUGAAACGGCCCGCGCGUCGUAAUUAGUGAUGGCGAUGAAGCUCCACCAUCUUCCUCACGGAUUUCUAAGGCACCGUCUACGAUUUGGUUCAUGCCAGCCGGAUCGACGGCAGCGGCAUGCCACGGUGGCGCAUCGACCUCCAGUCGUUCGACAGGUCAACAUGCAGACUGAGAUAUGAUCCAUCGUGCAAGAUUUGAUUCGUUGACGAGGAGCAGUUUAUCUUACCAGGCGAAAUCAUACGUACAAGGAGUUGUAUCUGGAGAAGGGGAAGUAGAAGGAAGGUAUUGAAGCAGCUCGUGGGACAGGCAAUCCAACGAAUAUGAGCAAUGAGAAAUCUCGUUUAGCAACGGCAACAAGAUCUCCUGGCUCACCAUGGCAUCGGCAUCGUUCCCACCACGACAGCCAUAUCUGGUAUCAUAGCUGUCUCCGUAAUCGAGCCUUGCCAAAAGUUCGUCCAGAUUGAUCAUGGACCGAUGGUGAUGGUUGCAGCCUAUGAGGGAAUCAAGAGUGGUGCUGAUCUUCUGGAGAAAGUUUUCCACGUCAUUUCUGUUGUCGGUUAUACCAUCAUCGCCGGGUUCGUCUGCGAAGGUGAUGCAGUCGAGUAAUUUGUGCAUUUGAUAUUUGGCCUUCUAUUCUUCUCUUUGUCAUGCAAAUCUAAAAAUUACUUUAAAUACAGUAUCAAUUUGUAUGCAAUAGUAUUAAACUACUGACCAUAAAUAGGCAAAACUAUUGAUAUAACAUGAGUAAUGGAAAAAUAGUUGAUUGCAGUUGGAGUUCUGUUCGGUGCUCACCACUUAUACAGUAAGAGAAAAGAUUGCUUGGAGAAUAUGGGUAUUAAUGUUGGAUGUUAGAACUGUGAGUUACUGGAACAAUUACUUUCUGAAGUUAACAUAUAAUAUAACUUACGCACA